UUCCCAGUGAUGUAUCCCCCUCUACCAGCCUCCCUCCUCUUGUUGAGGGCCAGCCGAGAUGCUUCCUGCGAGUGACAGUAAGUCGUGUGUCAUGGACGGUGCACAACCCUCCGUCUCAAACGUUCAUCAGGCUGCGCUGGUGGGGAGAGUCAUCCAACGGAACGCACUUCUUUCCCAGAGAUGGAUCGCUGCUCUCGCAGAAGAACAUCAAGAGCACAGCUCGCUUCCCAAUCCGCUGUGGCCUAAAGCAGUUCACCUCGUAUCUAACAGAUAUGGGUUCUUUGGUGCUGGACGUUUUGACAAAACCAGAUCAUUUACCAAUUGCUCGGGCUGAAGUCGCUGGUAUUUCCCAUCUAACUCAGUCUCAACCAAUCAGCGGGUUUUACACUUUAGUUUCACCAACUUCUGAAAAGCUGGGAGAGGUUCAAGUGAGUGGAAACUCAGAUGUAGCCCUCCAUAAUUUGUGUUUAGAGGCUUAAUGGAAACAUUUAUUUAGCAACCAGGGUUUGAAAUGAAAACUUGGCUUUCUGGUUAAACCCGUUAGUUUUCUGAGGCCAUCCACAUCUAAACUUUUUAGGUUUCCCUGAACUUGGAGCCUCUGACAGAAGCUUAUGACAGCAGCAGCUCCUGCCCCCCCACAGACAUCGGCACUGAUGGGACAAGAGUCACCACGCUGACUGUGCCCUCGCACCACAGACCCUCCUCAGCAGGAAGUGGGAAAGAAUCAGCCGGGAGCGGCGGUGGAAACACACUGAGAGGCAAAGAUCACCUGCACUUUCAAAAUGGUCUAAAAGACAAAGAAGAGAUGCUGGAGACUCGCAUUCCUGCAUCAAGUAAAUCUCACAGCACUCAAAGUGCUGAUAACCCCUCAGCUGAAGCUUCUUCUAACAGACCACCAGCUAACGACAUCAUCUCAGUUGUUUUGGAGCGUGGAAACAAGCUUAGAAAUGCGAUGAUUGAAUCCUCUUUGAAAUGUGAAAAGAACUUUGCUCCACCGGUAAAAGAAACGCCGCUACCUCUUCUGAAGCACAACAUCAAACUACAUGACAAUUCCUUCCGCUCUUCAUCAGGAAUGUUCCUUCAUGCAGAUUCAGCUCCGCAGCACAUUCGUGAUGCCGCGUUGGCCGCAGACACGUACUGUCCUGCUGACAUGGACAGGAGAGCUGUGGAACUGCUCUUUGGCAGGUACGCUUGUCUGUGUUUGCAUCACGUGUUAGUGAGAAGAGAUCAAUAAAAACAAAUGUUUGAUCAUUUUUUUCCAGCUCGUUCACGUCUUCACUUCCUCUCUGGGACGGACAAGUCUCUCCUACUGAAUCUCUCUCUGGUCAUAACAGUGUGUGUGGAGACAGCGAGCCGAAUGACCCGCUGUACGAUCAGAGCUUACUGGAAAACCUGUUCUACAAAACUCCUGUAAGAAGAUUCAUGAAUGUUUUUGGGUUCUUCGUCCUGCACAGAGUAAGAGGAGCUUGUUUUGACCCAAGGCUGCGCGGUGGCGCAGUGGUUAGAGCUGUUGCCUUGCAGCGAGAUGGUCCUAGGUUCGCUUCCCGGCCUGGGAUGUUUCUGCAUGGACAGGGUAUCUGUGGGUCCUUAAAAAGUCUUAAAUUAGCUUUUCCAAAUUUAAGGCCUUGAAAAUCCUUAAAAAUGACAAAUAAUCCUUAAACACAGUUUCCAAAGGUCGUAAAUUACCAAAGACCCAAUAAACAAGAUUCUUUUAUUUCUAUAAAAUUUUCGUGAAUUUCGAGUGUUCAGCAUUUUUUGUGUAUGAUGGUUGGCGUAAGCGGAACCGUACACAUUCAGCUGGUUGUGAAAGGGGGCUAUUUUUAGAUGAGCACAUUAGCUGGUUAAUCUAGUUGGAGCUUGCGCCAUGGGGAAGUGCAAGUUUAAUGGUAACUGGAUGGCUAAUCCCAUGUUUGUGACGUGGUUAGCACCGGUUCCAGGCAAUAGCUGGAAAUUAAAGCUUAAAUUUAAUUUUAAAAAAAUUGCUUAAAUUUGGUUAAAGUAGCCUUAAAAAAGGUCUUAAAAAGUCUUAAAUUUGGCUCCCUUAAACCUGCAGAUACCCUGAUGGAGUUUGCGUGUUUUCCCUGUGCAUGCGUGGGUUCUCUCCGGGUACUCCGGCUUCCUCCCACAGUCCAAAAACAUGACUGUUAGGUUGAUUGGUCUGUCUAAAUUGUCCUUAGGGUGUGUGUGUGUGUGUGUGUGUGUGUGUGUGUGUGUGUGUUGCCCUGUGAUGGACUGGCUCUCUGUCCAGGGUGUACCCCACCUGAUUGCCCGUUGACCGCUGGAGAUAGGCACCAGCCUCCCCCCCCACCCCCGCGACCCUACGUGGACAAAGCGGGUUCAGACAAUGGAUGGAUGGAUGUUUUGACCCAUAGCUAAGGUCAAAACAAGCUCCUCUUAUUCUGUGUAUGACGAGCCGCAACAAAAUGAAUUCUGAUGGGAAACACAGAAUGAACGUAGCGAAGAUGUUCAAAGAAAAAGAUUCAUUUAUAUUUUCAUCAUCCUACAGUUUUUGCAGAAGAUUUAUUAAAAUAACGUGUUUCAGAAUUUAGAUUCUAAAGCAGAUAAAGAUGAGGUGGAGGGUAGAGGAACAACGUCCUCCCGGACAAACCAGACACGGUCUGGACCGAGAAUCAGUCAGAGGUAAGAAACAAUUCGUUUAGAUGCAGGUGUGUGUGUGUGUGUGUGUGUGUGUGUGUGUGAUUGGGUGGUUUGAGUCUCACUUUGCUUCCUUCAGUCCAACAUCAGCUCGUCUUCAGCCUGCAGAGUGCAGCGAUCCUCCUCUCAGUGCAGAGCGUCUCUCUCUGCUGAGUGUAAUUCGAUUUGUGAGAGUGACCAUCGACUCCCUAGCUUUACCUGCAGGCAGCUCAGACCCCACGCCCAGGAACUCCUCUAAAGGAAAGCCCCCUCGUCCAUUACCCAGCAGGAAGUGGUAAAAACUUAAAUUCCUGUUACUUUUACUGAAACGGUUUUCAUUAGUAAUAAGUGACCAAGAUGGCUUUUAUGUCUCUGCUAGUACUUAUUUUGUUGAGUACGCGCUACCAUCAGCUUCUGGUCGGUUUGGUCCCAGUAAAGCUGGAGAUGUGGAGGUGACCAGGGUGGUUUCCAGUAAAGUCACUGGUGGAGGUAAAAAUAUAUAUUUUUUCUAAUUUAAAGGGGCAUUAUGGAAGUUUGACAGCCAAAACAUGUAUAGAAAUAAUAAAUGUCUUCUUCAUACAUUCUCCUGCAAUGCCCUGGUCCUGUAGAAUGAGCCCUGGCAUUUUUACUGUGAUUGCCUGUUUUUCUGUAAAAUCACAGAAAAAGAGAGAUGCUCGGGUCGAGCAGGCUGCUUCAUGCGCGUUCACGCUCAGGCAUCGCCCGUAGCAUUUGCUAUCCGUAGCUUUAGCAGCAGAGAGAGAGGCAGUGCCACUUUGUCGCUGUUCCUAACGCCUAGUGACAAAGCUAGCUACAUUUCUGAGGACCCUUAGCUACUUUCUGUAGAACUUUCUUCUAGAUAUUUCCUGCAAAUUAGCAACAAAAUAGCCAUUUUCGCUC
rnacentral:lncRNA from 1 species